rfam:Triticum urartu cultivar G1812 contig283495, whole genome shotgun sequence.
AUUGUACUCCCUCCAUCCGGAAAUACUUGUCCUAGAAAUAGAUAAAAUGAAUGUAUCUAUAACUAAAAUAAGUCAAGAUACAACCAUUUCAAGGACAAGUAUUUCCGGACGGAGGGAGUAGUAA